AAACUGUUAUUCUCAGAACAUUUAUAAUCGCAUAACUCACACGAGAAAGGUUUUAUCCCAGUAUGGGUUCUCAUGUGCGUCAC